rnacentral:rRNA from 1 species
AUUGAACGCUGGCGGCAGGCCUAACACAUGCAAGUCGAGCGGAUGAAGGGAGCUUGCUCCUGGAUUCAGCGGCGGACGGGUGGGUAAUGCCUAGGAAUCUGCCUGGUAGUGGGGGAUAACGUCCGGAAGCGGGCGCUAAUACCGCAUACGUCCUGACGGCGAACGGGGGGGAUCUUGGGACCUCACGCUAUCAGAUGAGCCUAGGUCGGAUUAGCUAGUUGGCGGGGUAAAGGCCUACCAAGGCGACGAUCCGUAGCUGGUCUGAGAGGAUGAUCAGUCACACUGGAACUGAGACACGGUCCAGACUCCUACGGGAGGCAGCAGUGGGGAAUAUUGGACAAUGGGCGAAAGCCUGAUCCAGCCAUGCCGCGUGUGUGAAGAAGGUCUUCGGAUUGUAAAGCACUUUUAGUGGGGAAGAAGGGCAGUAAGUUAAUACCCUGCUGUUUUGACGUUACCAACAGAAUAAGCACCGGCUAACUUCGUG